AUUGAACGCUGGCGGCAGGCCUAACACAUGCAAGUCGAACGAGUGGCGGACGGGUGAGUAAUGUCUGGGAAACUGCCUGAUGGAGGGGGAUAACUACUGGAAACGGUAGCUAAUACCGCAUACCAUCAGAUUUGCCCAGAUGGGAUUAGCUAGUUGGUGGGGUAACGGGUCACCAAGGCCACGAUCCCUAGCUGGUCUGAGAGGAUGACCGGCGACACGGCAACUGAGACACGGUCCAGACUCCUACGGGAGGCAGCAGGGGGGAAUAUGGCACAAUGGGCGAAGGCCGGAUGCAGCCAUGCCGGGUGUAUGAAGAAGGCCUUCGGGUUGUAAAGUACUUUCAGCGGGGAGGCGUUACCCGCAGAAGAAGCGCCGGCUAACUACGUGCCAGCAGCCGCGGUAAUAC
rnacentral:rRNA from 1 species